rnacentral:rRNA from 1 species
GACGAACGCUGGCGGCGUGCUUAACACAUGCAAGUCGAACGCUGAAGCUCAGCUUUUGUUGGGUGGAUGAGUGGCGAACGGGUGAGUAACACGUGAGUAACCUGCCCCCUUCUUUGGGAUAACGCCCGGGAACGGGUGCUAAUACUGGAUAUUCACUGGUCUUCGCAUGGGGGUUGGUGGAAAGGGUUUUUCUGGUGGGGGAUGGGCUCGCGGCCUAUCAGCUUGUUGGUGGGGUGAUGGCCUACCAAGGCUUUGACGGGUAGCCGGCCUGAGAGGGUGACCGGUCACAUUGGGACUGAGAUACGGCCCAGACUCCUACGGGAGGCAGCAGUGGGGAAUAUUGCACAAUGGGCGCAAGCCUGAUGCAGCGACGCCGCGUGAGGGAUGGAGGCCUUCGGGUUGUGAACCUCUUUCGCUCAUGGUCAAGCCGCAACAAUGGUUGUGGUGAGGGUAGUGGGUAAAGAAGCGCCGGCUAACUACGUG